rnacentral:misc_RNA from 1 species
AACAGCUUGUGCUCUUAGGCACAGAAACAUGCCUGCAGUUUUAAUAUGAUAGUUAUACAAAGUUCAAAAUCUUUCGCAAGCCAAUAUCAGAAAGGGAAACUUAUAAGACAUAUAACGACGACUAACGAACUAUAACAGUUUGUGUUCCUAGCUACAUAACAUGUCUGAAGUUUUCAUUUGAUAGUUGUACCAAAGUCUAUCAACUAAACUGAUGUUUGAUCCAUCCAUCCGUUCACAGGAUUACAAGGCUCACACCAAGUUGCAGGUCAGUGAACGACUGGCUUUAGAGGAUGUGCUCUCAGUUUUGACAUAUCCAAGUUACUAUCAAGAUCUUCAUCUAAUUCCCCAACGACGCUUAUGUUGUCUCCCCUUAUGAUAUAAAGACCUAACACAAGUUGCUGUACACCUUCCUUUGUUGAAUAUACUCUCUCAUGAGAUUCAUCAAGAAUCAAGUUUGUAGCCUGGUCGAAUCCUCUCAGAACUCCCACAAUAUUCCGUCCAUCAUUUGUAAUAACUGAGAUAGUUUGAUCAACAAGAGACUCAAGCCCAAGUCCAGAUGCCAUGUUGCAGAGUGAGCUGAAACUUAGUUGUCAGCUUCUUGGUAAACUGAUGCUAAAACCUAGAACCUGGGAGAUGGCAAGUAUCCCAUGUGCGCAAAAGCUGGCCUAGACACCACAGGAACUCACCGGAACAAAUGUUUCAAAUGCAAACAAUACACAAUCCCG